rnacentral:rRNA from 1 species
AAUAGAUACCCGGGUAGUCCAUGCCGUAAACGAUGUCUACUAGCCGUUGGGGCCUUUGAGGCUUUAGUGGCGCAGCUAACGCGAUAAGUAGACCGCCUGGGGAGUACGGUCGCAAGACUAAAACUCAAAUGAAUUGACGGGGGCCCGCACAAGCGGUGGAGCAUGUGGUUUAAUUCGAUGCAACGCGAAGAACCUUACCUGGUCUUGACAUACAGAGAACUUUCCAGAGAUGGAUUGGUGCCUUCGGGAACUCUGAUACAGGUGCUGCAUGGCUGUCGUCAGCUCGUGUCGUGAGAUGUUGGGUUAAGUCCCGCAACGAGCGCAACCCUUUUCCUAUUUGCCGGCGGGUUAAGCCGGGAACUUUAAGGAUACUGCCAGUGACAAACUGGAGAAGGCGGGGACGACGUCAAGUCAUCAUGGCCCUUACGACCAGGGCUACACACGUGCUACAAUGGUCGGUACAAAGGGUUGCUGCCUAGCGAUAGGAUGCUAAUCUCAAAAAGCCGAUCGUAGUCCGGAUUGGAGUCUGC